rnacentral:tRNA from 1 species
GGAGAGAUGGGUGAGUGGCUGAAACCAACGGUUUGCUAAACCGUCGUAGUUCGCAAGAUCUACCGAGGGUUCGAAUCCCUCUCUCUCCGCCC